rnacentral:rRNA from 1 species
GACGAACGCUGGCGGCGUGCCUAAUACAUGCAAGUUGAGCGCUGAAGGUUGGUACUUGUACCAACUGGAUGAGCAGCGAACGGGUGAGUAACGCGUGGGGAAUCUGCCUUUGAGCGGGGGACAACAUUUGGAAACGAAUGCUAAUACCGCAUAAAAACUUUAAACACAAGUUUUAAGUUUGAAAGAUGCAGUUGCAUCACUCAAAGAUGAUCCCGCGUUGUAUUAGCUAGUUGGUGAGGUAAAGGCUCACCAAGGCGAUGAUACAUAGCCGACCUGAGAGGGUGAUCGGCCACAUUGGGACUGAGACACGGCCCAAACUCCUACGGGAGGCAGCAGUAGGGAAUCUUCGGCAAUGGACGAAAGUCUGACCGAGCAACGCCGCGUGAGUGAAGAAGGGUUUCGGAUCGUAAAACUCUGUUGGUAGAGAAGAACGUUGGUGAGAGUGGAAAGCUCAUCAAGUGACGGUAACUACCCAGAAAGGGACGGCUAACUACGUG